rnacentral:rRNA from 1 species
GAUGAAUGCUGGCGGCGUGCUUAACACAUGCAAGUCGAGCGGUAAGGCCCUUUGGGGUACACGAGCGGCGGACGGCUGAGUAACGCGUGGGAACAUGCCCUAAAGUGAGGAAUAACUGCCCGAAAGGGUGGCUAAUGCCGCAUAUGAUCUUCGGAUUAAAGGAUUUAUCCGCUUUAGGAGUGGCCUGCGUACGAUUAGCUUGUUGGUGAGGUAAUGGCUUACCAAGGCGACGAUCGUUAGCUGGUCUGAGAGGAUGACCAGCCAGACUGGAACUGAGACACGGUCCAGACUCCUACGGGAGGCAGCAGUGAGGAAUCUUCCACAAUGGGCGAAAGCCUGAUGGAGCAACGCCGCGUGCAGGAUGAAGGCCCUCGGGUCGUAAACUGCUUUUAUGAGUGAAGAAUAUGACGGUAACUCAUGAAUAAGCACCGGCUAACUACGUGCCAGCCGCCGCCGUAA